rnacentral:rRNA from 1 species
GAUGAACGCUGGCGGCGUGCUUAACACAUGCAAGUCGAACGAGAAGUGGAGACGGAAACCUUCGGGCGGAAGACUUUAUUUCGAGUGGCGGACGGGGUAGUAACGCGUGGGUAUCCUGCCUCAUACAGGGGGAUAACAGUUGGAAACGACUGUUAAUACUGCAUAAGACCACAGCACCGCAUGGUGCGGGGGUAAAAACUCCGGUGGUAUGGGAUGGACCCGCGUUCGAUUAGCCAGUUGGCGGGGUAACGGCCCACCAAAGCGACGAUCGAUAGCCGAUCUGAGAGGAGGACCGGCCACAUUGGGACUGAGGCACGGACCAAACUCGGACGGGAGGCAGCAGUGGGUAAUAUUGCACGAUGGGGGAAACCCUAAUGCAGCGACGCCGCGUAAGUGAAGAAGUAUUUCGGUAUGUAAAGCUCUAUCAGCAGAGAAGAAAAUGACGGUACCUGGGUAAGAAGCCCCGGCUAACUACGUG